CAUAAUGAUGGUAUGAAACAGCUGGUCCUACGUACUUACGAUCACUUAUAAAUUUUCUCUUCUUAUUAUUUUUUUCUCCACAAACCUCACAAGGGUUCAUAUAGCUUACAUGGUCAACAAGGGGACUUUAUUCAUGGCACAGAAAAAGCAGGAUACCUAAUGAAGAGAAGCGAAGGACUUCGCAAGAUGUGGCAGAAGCGCUACUGCAGCGUACGUGAUGGACACUUCACCCUGGCACAUUCACCGACGACUCCACCUACACAAAAAUUAAACCUUCUUCUCUGUCAAGUAAAGGAGGAAGGAGAGGGAAAGAAACACAACUUUUCCAUCGUUUCUC